rnacentral:tRNA from 1 species
GCCGAAGUGGUGGAAUUGGUAGACACGUACGGUUCAGGGCCGUAUACCGAAAGGUUUGAGGGUUCAAAUCCCUCCUUCGGCA